rnacentral:lncRNA from 1 species
GUUUUAAAGGACACCUUGGAAAAAAGGGGAGUGUUAAGACAUUUAAAAGCAAGGAUCCGUGCUGAAGUUUUCAAUGCUCUGGAUGAUGAUCGUGAACCCCGACCAUUGUUGUCUCAUGAGAACCUUCUAAUUAAUGAAUUAAUUAGGGAGUAUUUGGAAUUCAACAAAUAUAAAUACACAGCCUCUGUCCUCAUAGCAGCCCAUUUCUUGCGUGGUCCUCCAGACGGAGCCCAGAAUGUGCUUCUGACAGAAUCAACACUGCACCCUGCAAACAAGCAUGUCAGCUGGAAGCCCAGCAGAAGACCAGAUGAUGACCACCUGAAGAAGGACACAGGGCCAAGAACCAUGACUGAAGAGCUUCAUGCUGCUGCACAGGCAGUCAUUAGAUGAUGUGUACACCAGGCUCUUCACCUCGGCUGUGUGUGGAGUAACUAACUUAUUCCCAGUGCCAUCAAUUAGACCACCACUGUCUGUAAAUGUUUGAAUGUCUACAAACAUUCAGCCACUCGUGGUUUACUGCAUCUGUAGAAUACUGAUCUGUCAUCUAGUUUGCUGGAUGCCACUGGGGGAAAUUUAUUGUUUUCAGGAUGUAUUUUUAAAGUUCUCAUUUGUGAAAUCUGAA